rnacentral:rRNA from 1 species
AACGAACGCUGGCGGCAUGCCUAACACAUGCGAGUCGAACGAGACCUUCGGGUCUAGUGGCGCACGGGUUCGUAACGCGUUGGAACCUUCCCUUAGGUUCGGAAUCACUCCCCGAAAGGGGUGCUAAUACCGGAUAAUGUCUUCGGACCAAAGAUUUAGCGCCUUUGGAUGGGCCCGCGUUGGAUUAGCUAGUUGGUAGGGUAAAAGCCUACCAAGGCGACGAUCCAUAGCUGGUCUGAGAGGAUGAUCAGCCACACUGGGACUGAGACACGGCACAGACUCCUACGGGAGGCAGCAGGGGGGAAUAUUGGACAAGGGGCGAAAGUCUGAUCCAGCAACGGCGCGUGAGUGAUGAAGGCCUUAGGGUUGUAAAGCUCUUUUACCCGGGAUGAUAAUGACAGUACCGGGAGAAUAAGCACCGGCUAACUCCGUG